rnacentral:rRNA from 1 species
GACAGAGGAUGCAAGCGUUAUCCGGAAUGAUUGGGCGUAAAGCGUCCGCAGGUGGCUAUGUAAGUCUGCUGUUAAAGAGUCUAGCUCAACUAGAUAAGAGCAGUGGAAACUACAAGGCUAGAGUGCGUUCGGGGCAGAGGGAAUUCCUGGUGUAGCGGUGAAAUGCGUAGAUAUCAGGAAGAACACCGGUGGCGAAAGCGCUCUGCUAGGCCGCAACUGACACUGAGGGACGAAAGCUAGGGGAGCGAAUGGG